AGUGAACGCUGGCGGUAGGCCUAACACAUGGAAGUCGAACGGCAGCACAGAGGAGCUUGCUCCUUGGGUGGCGAGUGGCGGACGGGUGGGGAACACAUCGGAAUCUACUCUGUCGUGGGGGAUAACGUAGGGAAACUUACGCUAAUACCGCAUACGACCUACGGGUGAAAGCAGGGGACCUUCGGGCCUUGCGCGAUUGAAUGAGCCGAUGUCGGAUUAGCUAGUUGGCGGGGUAAAGGCCCACCAAGGCGACGAUCCGUAGCUGGUCUGAGGGGAUGAUCAGCCACACUGGAACUGAGACACGGUCCAGACUCCUACGGGAGGCAGCAGUGGGGAAUAUUGGACAAUGGGCGCAAGCCUGAUCCAGCCAUACCGCGUGGGUGAAGAAGGCCUUCGGGUUGUAAAGCCCUUUUGUUGGGAAAGAAAUCCAGCUGGCUAAUACCCGGUUGGGAUGACGGUACCCAAAGAAUAAGCACCGGCUAACUUCGUGCCAGCCGCCGCCGUAA
rnacentral:rRNA from 1 species